rnacentral:rRNA from 1 species
UACGAAGGGGGCUAGCGUUGCUCGGAAUCACUGGGCGUAAAGCGCACGUAGGCGGCUUUCUAAGUCAGGGGUGAAAUCCUGGAGCUCAACUCCAGAACUGCCUUUGAUACUGGAAAGCUUGAGUUCGGGAGAGGUGAGUGGAACUGCGAGUGUAGAGGUGAAAUUCGUAGAUAUCCGGAGGAACACCGGUGGCGAAGGCGGCUUCCUGGACCGAUUACUGACGCUGAGGCGCGAAAGCUAGGGGAGCAAACGGG